GGCCAGACUCCUACGGGAGGCAGCAGUGGGGAAUAUUGGGCAAUGGGCGCAAGCCUGACCCAGCAACGCCGCGUGAAGGAAGAAGGCUUUCGGGUUGUAAACUUCUUUUAUUCGGGACGAAGCAAGUGACGGUACCGAAUGAAUAAGCCACGGCUAACUACGUGCCAGCAGCCGCGGUAAAACGUAGGGUGCAAGCGUUGUCCGGAAUUACUGGGUGUAAAGGGAGCGCAGGCGGAUCGACAAGUUGGGAGUGAAAACUACGGGCUCAACCCGUAACCUGCUUUCAAAACUGUCGGUCUUGAGUGGUGUAGAGGUAGGCGGAAUUCCCGGUGUAGCGGUGGAAUGCGUAGAUAUCGGGAGGAACACCAGUGGCGAAGGCGGCCUACUGGGCACUAACUGACGCUGAGGCUCGAAAGCAUGGGUAGCAAACAGGAUUAGAUACCCUCGUAA
rnacentral:rRNA from 1 species